ACGGGAGGCAGCAGUGGGGAAUCUUCCGCAAUGGGCGCAAGCCUGACGGAGCAACGCCGCGUGAGUGAAGAAGGUCUUCGGAUCGUAAAGCUCUGUUGAGAGGGACGAGAGAUAAUGUCAGGAAAUGGGCAUUAGAGGACGGUACCUUUCGAGGAAGCCACGGCUAACUACGUGCCAGCAGCCGCGGUAAUACGUAGGUGGCGAGCGUUGUCCGGAAUUAUUGGGCGUAAAGGGAGCGCAGGUGGGACUUAAAGUCAGUCUUAAAAGUGCGGGGCUCAACCCCGUGAUGGGAUUGAAACUGUAGUUCUUGAGUGCAGGAGAGGAAAGCGGAAUUCCUAGUGUAGCGGUGAAAUACGUAGAUAUUAGGAGGAACACCGGUGGCGAAGGCGGCUUUCAGGACUGUAAUUGACACUGAGGAACGAAAGUGUGGGGAGCAAA
rnacentral:rRNA from 1 species